rnacentral:rRNA from 1 species
UACGUAGGGGGCAAGCGUUGUCCGGAAUCAUUGGGCGUAAAGCGCGUGUAGGCGGUUCGAUAAGUCUGCUGUGAAAGUCCAGGGCUCAACCCUGGAAAGCCGGUGGAUACUGUCGGACUAGAGUGCGGAAGAGGCGAGUGGAAUUCCUGGUGUAGCGGUGAAAUGCGCAGAUAUCAGGAGGAACACCAAUUGCGAAGGCAGCUCGCUGGGACGUUACUGACGCUGAGACGCGAAAGCGUGGGGAGCAAACAGG